rnacentral:ncRNA from 1 species
UGUUUAAUUGAAACAAAGUUUGUGACAGUCGUCAACCGGUGUUAAAAAUCUACGAUUUCUGCCCAGUGCGCUGAAGGCCAACGUGAAAAAAUUCAAUGAAGCGCGGGUAAAUGGUGGAAGUAAUUGCUCGGUGAAAACAUCGUCAGAACAAAACAUCUUCAACAAUAAAAUA